rnacentral:rRNA from 1 species
GCAGUCUGCAACUCGACUGCGUGAAGUCGGAAUCGCUAGUAAUCGCGGAUCAGCAUGCCGCGGUGAAUACGUUCCCGGGCCUUGUACACACCGCCCGUCACACCAUGAGAGUCGGGAACACCCGAAGCCCGUAGCCUAACUUGCAAGAGGGGGCGCGGUCGAAGGUGGGUUCGAUAAUUGGGGUGAAGUCGUAACAAGGUAAC